CAAGAGAGCUGGGACAACAGGCUACCCCACGUGGUAACAGCACCUUCCUGCAAUGGCGUGAGCUACUACCUUGACAUCGGGAAGGCUCCUGGCCAGGGGGUGGGGGCCCGGGGCCCUGGUCCGGCCAGACAGAAGGCCAGACCCAUCAGCCAGAGGCCCACGGGAAACAGAACCAUUUCAGGUUUUAAGAGGAGGAGGAAAUGCAGGUAUGAAGUGGAAGGCUGUGAGAACACAUUUUGCAGCAGGACAAGGAGCAUGACCUUCUCUGGAAACAUGAGGUCCUCACAGCCUGGGAGACCCAAAGUGCAGCAUAGGUUCCAAAAUUUUCCAGAACUUUACUAAAAGACACUUUCUGGUAAGUUAGCUCCACUUACCCUCUAGUUUCUCAGGUUCCACACUUGAAUUCUUCCACUGCACACUGGUUAACAUAAUUUCAUCUCAACAAAGCCAUUCAGAUCUCAGAUGGAGUUUAUUAUAAUGGAAUUUUACCUAAGGCUGUCAGCCCCCACUUCUUAACAUCAUGGCACCCAAGAUGUCGGUGUGCUUGCCAAAUAGGCUGGGCAGAGGUACCUUCCCGCCCCUGGCAGAAGUCCGGAAAUUCAGAGCUGUUUGGAACAAAGAACUCUGCCCUGAAGGUGUUUUCCAGCAUCAUCCUGGCCAGCCUGGAACUGUCCCAUUCUCCCUCGGCUGGCACCACCUACUCCCUCUUUUCCAGCCCUCCUCAGACAGGAAGAGGAGAGAGGAGACAGCCAAACGACCAGGGAUACUACGCAGGACAGGUCGUGGGCAGGUGAAGCGGGGGCAGACAAUCCAGACUACGAAAGAUCCGAAUUCAAGUUCUGGUUCUGACUUAGGAGCUCAAUGACUUUGGGCAAGAAAUGUAACCUCUUAACUUCUUUGAACAUCAAUUUCCUCUUCUAUAAAAUGGGGAUAACAAGAUUACCUACCUCAUAGGAUUAUUG